AGCCUAAACUGUACCUUCGCGUACGGCACGGCUCAAAAAACCGAUGAGAGAUAAAGAGCUCCUAGUCAGAGCACUCUCAUCGGUCGUAUGGGGAAACUCAUACGGGUCCCGCAAGGGAUC
rnacentral:sRNA from 1 species